ensembl:lncRNA
CAGAAUUGUCCAAAUGCUUCUUCAACUCCAGCUGACUCAGUGACUGGGAACCUGUCCCAGUGCCCGACCACCCUCUGGGUGCAGAACCUUUCCCUAACACCCACCCUGUCCCAGCCCCAUGCCGUUCCCUCGGGUCCUGUCGCUGUCCCCAGAGAGCAGAGCUCAGCGCCUGUCCCUCCGCUCCCCUCGUGAGGCAGCCGCAGGCCGCCAUGCGGUCUAGGCGCUCGCCCUUCCUGCCUGAGGCGCCGCCAUUUCACCGCCCUCCUCCGUCCCCAGCAGGUGUCACCCUGCCCCGCGCCACGGCCAUGGGCGGCGUUUGCAGCCUGCCGGCCGCCUGCCCCCGAGCAAGGGAGCUAAGCAGGUGCCUCGGCAUCUCCAGCGGAGAGAUCAGUUUCAGCUCUCCCUUGCUACCUUGACGCUGGAUAACAGGCUAAUGCUCCCUGAUGUGCCAAAUGUGUAGAGAACCAUUUGCAUAGGCCAUGCUCUACUGGAGGGGAUGAAACCUCAGAAGAACAGCAGGAAUGGUAAAUGCCUUAACCUUUUCCUCUUGACUCCCUCUCCCAUCCUGACAGCGUGACUGUGUUUACAAGGCAGAACUAAAACUUGGGACAACACAGAGCCAAUGGGUGUGGAACUCAUAUUCUCUGCAAAUGAUGCUGUGUAGCUGAAAGACCUUUGGCACCUUUCUAUGGUGAAGCUUUCAAGAGAAUUUCCUGCAGAAGGGAACUGCAAUGCUGUAAAUUAUACAUCCUGCAUGCUUAAUUUGCAUACUUCCAGGGGAGAAAAAAAAAAGAGAUUAAAAAAACUGCUUUAGGACAUUAUAAACUGCAUGUGUUUCAACAAUUUCACUAGCUCUAGCAUCAACAAAAAAUAUACAUAUAAAAAGAAAAAAAGGAAGAAAGGACUGCAGAGAACAACUUACAGAGGCUGGGGAUUACUGGAAGAAACAUGAAACCAUGAAAGGUGUGCAUGCCCACAUUUUCUGUAAUGUUCACUGCAACUGCAAAAUAAGCAACUGGCCACUCCUAAAUAUGACUAAUGGUUUAACAACUUAAUAACUUACUUCCACUGGAGUCUGUGAAAAUGAGAUCAGAACAAAACGCUCUUUAAUGCAGAAAUGCUCACGAUCUGCUGUCAACUGCAGCAAACUAUUUCAGCACGUGUGAGUCUAAGCGCACACAACUCUGUUGAAUGCAGAAUAACGCUAAAAGCUGCGUGCUCACACUGACUGCUUUGCUGAAGUAGGGUCUCCAUCUGUCUGCACAGAGCUGCACAUCCAAAGUCUUCACAACUUCACUUUGCAGCCAUUAGUUUGGGCCCCACGGGAAGCUAUUUAUAAAUAUCUGAAUUAAUUAAAUCAACUCUGUACAGCAGAAAAAGGAAUCAACUUAGUAUGGUCGCUAUGGCAACAAAUAUUUCCUGGAUGUAGUUUUGCUGCUAAUCAGCAAUGGCCUCCCCACAUUCCUAACGAUGGCAAAAGUUGUUGGGCUUCUUUUGUUUGUUUUGUAUUGAAUGCGUUCCUACAGAUUAAGACAAUAAAUGUGAUGUCUGAGUAUUUUAGACA